rnacentral:rRNA from 1 species
UACAGGGGGUGCAAACGUUGCUCGGAAUUAUUGGGCGUAAAGCGCGCGUAGGCGGCCGCUUAAGUCGGAUGUGAAAGCCCCUGGCUCAACUGAGGAAGUGCGCCCGAAACUGCAGAGCUUGAGUACCGGAGAGGAUGGUGGAAUUCCCCAAGUAGAGGUGAAAUUCGUAGAUAUGGGGAGGAACACCGGUGGCGAAGGCGACCAUCUGGACGGAUACUGACGCUGAGACGCGAAAGCGUGGGUAGCAAACAGG